GAUUCCCUUAGUAACGGCGAGUGAACAGGGAUUAGCCCAGCACCGAAGCCUGUGGUUAUUUGACUACUAGGCAAUGUGGUGUUUAGAUUGGUUCUUGGCAUUUUUGCUUUGUCCCAAGUCCAUCAAUGAAUGUGGUUAAUGGACAGGCCCAAAGAGGGUGAAAGGCCCGUGGGGAUAAAGAUCAAGUGUGUCGAAAGUGCUUUGAAUCUUUCUUGGAGUCGGGUUGUUUGAGAAUGCAGCCCAAAGAGGGUGGUAGACUCCAUCCAAGGCUAAAUACUGGCACGAAUCCGAUAGCAAACAAGUACCGUGAGGGAAAGUUGAAAAGUACUUUGAAGAGAGAGUAAACAGUGCGUGAAACCGCUCAGAGGUAAACGGGUGGAGUUGAACUGGAAUCCUUGGCAAUUUAACUGAUGAGUAUGGCUUGUGCUUUUAUGGGCAUGGUGGCUAAUAUGCGAAGUCUGCUUAAUGACAGGCUUGGAUCCUUUUGGGGGUUCGAGUGCACGUUGCACUGGUCAGGUGUUGUGCGCUUCGUUUAAUUUGGGUCAGCUUGUCGGUGCAUUUUGUCAGGGUGAUCACCACGACCGGCGUGGUUGCCUGUUUGUUGUAACCAAACCGAUCAGAUCUGGUCAUUACGGCUAGUUUUGGUAGGGAUGGCAGGUAGCUUGCUUGCUUCUUUAUUGGAGUUGGUAAGUGUUAAUUAGCCGGUUGCAAUGAACUUGUGCAAUAUGUCGGAGAUGACGGCCGUGUAUGCUUUGUUUGACAGAUUUGAGCGGGUUUGAUUGGCAUGUACUUGUUAAGGCAGGUCGGUCGGUAGCUCGUUUGAGUUUGUUGAGUGAAUGCGUGCAACGAAUUGUGGCUUGGGCCUAUAGUCUGUGGUGUAGUGGUAGACUAUCCACCUGACCCGUCUUGAAACACGGACCAAGGAGUUUAACAUGUGCGCGAGUCAUUGGGCGUUACGAAACCCAAAGGCGUAAUGAAAGUAAAGGUUUAAACUAAGGUGAGAUCUUGUUGUGUCCAAUGAUCUAUGCAUUGGCAUGGCGAGCGCAUCACCAGCCCGUCUCAUGGUGUUGUCAUAGAGCUUGUCUUUGUGCGUCAUCGGGGCGGAGCCAGAGCGUACACGUUGAGACCCGAAAGAUGGUGAACUAUGCUUGCGUAGGUUGAAGCCAGAGGAAACUCUGGUGGAGGACCGUAGCGAUUCUGACGUGCAAAUCGAUCGUCAAACGUGGGUAUAGGGGCGAAAGACUAAUCGAACCAUCUAGUAGCUGGUUCCCUCCGAAGUUUCCCUCAGGAUAGCUGGCGCUUGUGUAUUAGAUAAACAGUUUUAUCCGGUAAAGCGAAUGAUUGGAGGUAUUGGGGAUAAAACAUCCUCAACCUAUUCUCAAACUUUAAAUGGGUGAGAAGCUUUGCUCGUUUAACUAGAGUAAGGCGUUGAAUGUGAGUGCCAAGUGGGCCAUUUUUGGUAAGCAGAACUGGCGCUGUGGGAUGAACCAAACGCUUGGUUAAGGUGCCUAACACAACGCUCAUGAGAUACCACAAAAGGUGUUGGUUGGUAUAGACAGCAGGACGGUGGCCAUGGAAGUCGGAAACCGCUAAGGAGUGUGUAACAACUCACUGCCGA
rnacentral:rRNA from 1 species